GACGAACGCUGGCGGCGUGCUUAACACAUGCAAGUCGAACGGAAAGGCCCUGCUUUUGUGGGGUGCUCGAGUGGCGAACGGGUGAGUAACACGUGAGUAACCUGCUCUCGACUUUGGGAUAACUUCAGGAAACUGGGGCUAAUACCGGCUAGGAGCUCCUGCUGAAUGGUGGGGGUUGGAAAGUUUCGGCGGUUGGGGAUGGACUCGCGGCUUAUCAGCUUGUUGGUGGGGUAGUGGCUUACCAAGGCUUUGACGGGUAGCCGGCCUGGGAGGGUGACCGGCCACAUUGGUACUGAGAUACGGCCCAGACUCCUACGGGGGGCAGCGGUGGGGAAUAUGGCGCAAUGGGCGGAAGCCUGAUGCAGCAACGCCGCGUGCGGGAUGACGGCCUUCGGGUUGUAAACCGCUUUCGCCUGUGACGAAGCGUGAGUGACGGUAAUGGGUAAAGAAGCACCGGCUAACUACGUG
rnacentral:rRNA from 1 species